GGGCCCGUGGCGUAAUGGAAGCCGCACCGGUCUUAGAAACCGGCGCCUCGUGCGUGUCAGUUCGAGUCUGACCGGGCCUACCA
rnacentral:tRNA from 1 species